ACUCCUACGGGAGGCAGCAGUGGGGAAUAUUGGACAAUGGGCGCAAGCCUGAUCCAGCCAUGCCGCGUGAGUGAUGAAGGCCCUAGGGUUGUAAAGCUCUUUCACCGGUGAAGAUAAUGACGGUAACCGGAGAAGAAGCCCCGGCUAACUUCGUGCCAGCAGCCGCGGUAAUACGAAGGGGGCUAGCGUUGUUCGGAUUUACUGGGCGUAAAGCGCACGUAGGCGGACUAUUAAGUCAGGGGUGAAAUCCCGGGGCUCAACCCCGGAACUGCCUUUGAUACUGGUAGUCUUGAGUUCGAGAGAGGUGAGUGGAAUUCCGAGUGUAGAGGUGAAAUUCGUAGAUAUUCGGAGGAACACCAGUGGCGAAGGCGGCUCACUGGCUCGAUACUGACGCUGAGGUGCGAAAGCGUGGGGAGCAAACAGGAUUAGAAACCCUAGUAGUCCCAU
rnacentral:rRNA from 1 species